GCCUGGGAUAGCUUAGUCGGCAGAGCACAAGAUUCUUAAUUGAGGGUCGUGGGUUCAAGCUCCAAGCUAGGCA